UACGAAGGGGGCUAGCGUUGCUCGGAAUCACUGGGCGUAAAGGGCGCGUAGGCGGCGUUUUAAGUCGGGGGUGAAAGCCUGUGGCUCAACCACAGAAUGGCCUUCGAUACUGGGACGCUUGAGUAUGGUAGAGGUUGGUGGAACUGCGAGUGUAGAGGUGAAAUUCGUAGAUAUUCGCAAGAACACCGGUGGCGAAGGCGGCCAACUGGACCAUUACUGACGCUGAGGAGCGAAAGCAUGGGGAGCGAACAGG
rnacentral:rRNA from 1 species